GAUAAUGUAAUGUGUAAUACAAGUCUCUGAUGCUGUCAUAAAGUUCAAGCCUAGAAAAUAUUUAAUGGAAGUUUUGAAUGGACAUAAUGUGGACCUAAAAUUCCCGAAUGUCGUUUUUUACAUUUAGAAGAGAGUGGGGAUCGGUACAUUCACAAAAAUUAUACGGAACGUUAGUGUACAUCGUCACUUCAGAGGAGAAUCUAGAGAGUUAAAUUAAUCUUUCUAUGUACAGGUUAAAGUUAUUGCAGCUGUUAAUAAAGUAACAAUGGGAAGCUAGUUCUUCUGUACUGAUACACCUACAUAACCUGAUGCUGCAAUACAUAGCUACGAUACAUAUACAAGCUUUUAAUCUAUAGCGGUGUUGCUUCACUAUCACAUCAUCGCGUAUUUGCGAAGUCUUCCAGUCUAUCUGUCAUAAUACAAGUUUCAAUCAAAUGGAUAUUGGACGACCAUACUAUGGAAUUGGCUUAUUUUUUUCUGCAGGGUUUUUCACCGUCAUCAUUGGUGUACUAGUCCAAUUUACCAAAGACAGGAUAUUUAUGGAUGUUAUGGGCUUAUCUCAAGUAGUCCGAAUAUUUAUUAUUUCACCUCUGAUCGUUUUCCGAAAUGUAAAGUUCAUCUACGAGCGAAGAACGAUUCUGUUAACCUCUCUCCGUUGUCUUACUGGAGCGUUAGGAGAUACUUUUCUCUAUUAUUCCUACACUCUUCUUCCUGUUGGCGACGCAACUGCCAUUUGUUCUACGAACUCAGUUUUCGCCGAAUUUUGUUUCCAGUAUCCUUUGUAUUUUUGGUGUGGUAAUUAUUUCUCAACCAAGUUUUUUAUUUGCUUUAGACAAACAUCCUUCCUUAAAUUACAAAGGAAUUGCUGCGGCAAUAGCUGCAACUAUUCUGGAUUCGUUGUCUUUCAACUUUAAUACCCUUUUAGGUAACGUUAAUCAUAUUUUCAUUACAACGUGUCUGAGCAUAAAUACGAUUCUCUUGUGGGUUUUGAGUUUAAUAAGCGAUAAGCGUCUCCCCGUAUUAGGGUUUGCUGAUUGUUCCUGGACCAAUCUGUACAUCACUGCUAUAGGAUUAGCUGGGUUGUUGAAUGUUCUUACUAUCACACGAGGAUUUCAAUUAGUUGAAGC